rnacentral:rRNA from 1 species
AGAGUUUGAUCAUGGCUCASAGUGAACGCUGGCGGCGUGCUUAACACAUGCAAGUCGAACGGUAACMGGAAGUAGCUUGCUACUUUGCUGACGAGUGGCGCACGGGUGAGUAAACUAUAGUUAAUGUGCCUCGAAGACUGGGAAAGCCACUGGAAACGGUGAUUAAUACUAGAUACACCUCUUUAGCUCAAGCUAGAGAGGGAAACGUUUUUUCGCUUCGAGAUCAGACUAUAUCCUAUCAGUUAGUUGGUGAGGUAAUGGCUCACCMAGGCAAUGACSGGUAGCGGUUCUGAGAGGAUGAUCCSCCACACUGGUACUGAGACACGGACCAGACUCCYACGGGAGGCAGCAGUGAGGAAUAUUGCACAAUGGGG